rnacentral:snRNA from 1 species
AUAACUUCUUGGCCUUUUGGCGAAGAUCAAGUGUAGUAUCUGUUCUUAUCAGUUUAAUAUCUGAUAUGUCCUCUAUCCUAGGACAAUAUAUUAAAUGGAUUUCUAGAGCAGGGAGAUAGAAUAGGAGCUUGCUCCGUCCACUGCACACAUUGGCCUAGUAUUGCAGUACUGCCAGGAAUGGUGCACACAGA